AACGAACGCUGGCGGCAUGCCUAACACAUGCGAGUCGAACGAGAUCUUCGGGUCUAGUGGCGCACGGGUGCGUAACGCGUGGGAAUCUGCCCUUUGGUUCGGAAUAACAGUUGGAAACGACUGCUAAUACCGGAUGAUGACGAAAGUCCAAAGAUUUAUCGCCAGAGGAUGAGCCCGCGUAGGAUUAGCUAGUUGGUGUGGUAAAGGAGCACCAAGGCGACGAUCCUUAGCUGGUCUGAGAGGAUGAUCAGCCACACUGGGACUGAGACACGGCCCAGACUCCUACGGGAGGCAGCAGUGGGGAAUAUUGGACAAUGGGCGAAAGCCUGAUCCAGCAAUGCCGCGUGAGUGAUGAAGGCCUUAGGGUUGUAAAGCUCUGUUACCCGGGAUGAUAAUGACAGUACCGGGAGAAUAAGCUCCGGCUAACUCCGUGCCAGCCGCCGCAGUAG
rnacentral:rRNA from 1 species